UGUGUGUGUGUGUGUGUGUGUGUGUGUAUGUAUGUGUAUAUAUAUAUAUAUAUAUACACACACACACACACACACAGUAGAGUCUCACUUAU
rnacentral:miRNA from 11 species